rnacentral:rRNA from 1 species
GACAGAGGGUGCGAACGUUGCUCGGAAUCAUUGGGCGUAAAGCGCGUGUAGGUGGCUUCUCACGUCGGAUGUGAAAGCCCGGGGCUCAACCCCGGCAGUGCAUCCGAAACGAGGGAGCUAGAGUGCUGGAGAGGCGGGUGGAAUUCCCGGUGUAGAGGUGAAAUUCGUAGAUAUCGGGAGGAACACCGGUGGCGAAGGCGACCCGCUGGCCAGCGACUGACACUGAGACGCGAAAGCGUGGGGAGCAAACAGG